rnacentral:rRNA from 1 species
AGAGUUUGAUCAUGGCUCAGAAUCAACGCUGGCGGCGUGCCUCAGACAUGCAAGUCGAACGAGAACCUCCCUUCGGGGAGGGGAAAGUGGCGCACGGGUGAGUAACACGUGGGUAAUUUACCUUUGGGUGGGGAACAACAGCCGGAAACGGCUGCUAAUACCGCAUAAUGCAGCGGCUCGACAUCGAGACAGUUGUUAAAGCGGGGGAUCGCAAGACCUCGCGCCUAAAGAGAAGCCCGCGGCAGAUUAGCUAGUUGGUAGGGUAAUGGCCUACCAAGGCAACGAUCUGUAACCGGCCUGAGAGGGCGGUCGGUCACACUGACACUGACAUACGGGUCAGACUCCUACGGGAGGCAGCAGUCGGGAAUUUUGGGCAAUGGGCGAAAGCCUGACCCAGCAACGCCGCGUGAAGGAUGAAGCUUUUCGGAGUGUAAACUUCACAAGAAUGGGAAGAAUAAGUGUGGGAUAAUACCCUUCACGAUGACGGUACCAUUUGUAAGCUCCGGCUAACUCCGUGCCAGCAGCCGCGGUAAUACGGGGGGAGCAAGCGUUGUUCGGAUUUACUGGGCGUAAAGGGCGCGUAGGCGGCGCGACAAGUCACUUGUGAAAUCUCUGGGCUCAACCCAGAACGGUCAAGUGAUACUGUCGUGCUAGAGUGCGGAAGGGGCAACUGGAAUUCUUGGUGUAGCGGUGAAAUGCGUAGAUAUCAAGAGGAACACCUGCGGCGAAGCGGGUUGCUGGGCCGACACUGACGCUGAGCGCGAAAGCUAGGGGAGCGAACGGGAUUAGAUACCCUAGUAGUCC